rnacentral:rRNA from 1 species
GACGAACGCUGGCGGCGUGCUUAACACAUGCAAGUCGAACGAGUGGCGAACGGGUGAGUAACACGUGGGUGACCUGCCCUGCAAUUCGGGAGAAGCCUGGGAAACUGGGUCUAAUAACGGAUAGUGUGGGAUGGGCCCGCGGCGUAUCAGCUUGUUGGUGCGGUAAUGGUUACAAAGGCGCGACGGGUAGCCGGCCUGAGAGGGUGGAAGGCCACAUUGGGACUGAGAAACGGCCCAGACUCCUACGGGAGUCAGCAGUGGGGAAUAUUGCACAAUGGGCGGAAGCCUGAUGCAGCCAUGCCGCGUGUAUGAAGAAGGCCUUAGGGUUGUAAAGUACUUUUAUCGGGGAGGCGUUACCCGCACAGGAAGCACCGGCUAACUCCGUGCCAGCAGCCGCGGUAAUUC